GAGUAAAGAUUUCGGUCGCUUUGGGAGGAGCUCGCUUACUAUCAGCUUGUUGGUAGGGUAAUGGCCUACCAAGGCUAUGACGGUUAGGGGGUGUGAGAGCAUGACCCCCAGCAUUGGCACUGAAACACUGGCCAAACACCUACGGGUGGCUGCAGUCGAGAGUCUUCCACAAUGGGGGAAACCCUGAUGGAGCGAUGCUGCGUGCGGGAUGAAGGCCUUCGGGUUGUAAACCGCUUUUGUAGGGGACGAAAUUUUUGACGGUACCCUUUCGAAUAAGAGGUUGCUAACUCUGUGCCAGCAGCAGCGGUAAUACAGAGACCUCAAGCGUUAUCCGGAUUUACUGGGCGUAAAGCGUCUGUAGGGGGUUUAUUAAGUUCCAAGUAAAAUUUCAAGGCUCAACUUUGAAUUCGCUUGGAAAACUAAUAAACUGGAGUCUAGCAGAGGUGCAUGGAACUUGUGGUGUAGGAGUGAAAUCCGUUGAUAUCACAAGGAACACCAAAGGCGAAGGCAUUGCACUGGGCUAGCACUGACCCUGAGAGACGAAAGCGUGGGGAGCAAAACGGAUUAGAUACCCGUGUAGUCCACGCCCUAAACGAUGAAUGCUAAAUGUUCGGGGAUUCGACCCCCUGGGUGUUACAGCUAACGCGUUAAGCAUUCCGCCUGGGAAGUACGGCCGCAAGGCUAAAACUCAAAGGAAUAGACGGGGAUCCGCACAAGCGGUGGAGCGUCUGGUUUAAUUCGACAGUAAGCGUGGUACCUCACCAGGGUUUGACAUCCCUUGACAGCCUUGGAAACAAGGUUUCCUUCGGGCAAGGUGACAGGUGCUGCAUGGUCGUCGUCAGUUCGUGCCGUGAGGUGUUCCGUUAAGUCGGGAAACGAACGAAACCCCUAUUGCAUGUUACAAUUUCUCAUGCAAGACUGCCCGGAUAUACUGGGAGGAAGGUGGGGAUGACGUCAGGUCUGCAUGGUCCUUAUACCCUGGGCGACACAGGCGCUACAAUGGCAGAGACAAAGGGUUGCAAAACCGCAAGGUGAAGCUAAUCCCAAAAACUUUGUCUAAGUUCGGAUUGAAGGCUGCAAUUCGCCUUCAUGAAGCUGGAAUCGCUAGUAAUCGUGAAUCAGCCACGUCACGGUGAAUAUGUUCCCGGAUCUUGUACUCACCGCCCGUCACACCAAGAGAGUUGGUAGCUCC
rnacentral:rRNA from 1 species